rnacentral:lncRNA from 1 species
AUUUGUAAACACAGUUCGCAUACAGUCUUUGAAAAACUGUAGAAAAGAAAUAGAAAAGAACGAUACAAAAAUCCCUGCAAACUCUUCUAUUUAUGUACAAAACACUGUACAGGUACUAGACAACCCAGGUUGUGUGAUGCUGCCUAUGGCACUUUCCCUUCGUGUAAUGGUGUAUGCCACAGAGCAUCAUUAAAAACAAUUGCGGGGCUCCUGAAUUUUGAAAAAUCAAACUAGAAGGAUUCGACACUCCAGCAUCAAUCAGCAUUGGCUCUGCAGCAGAACACAGACAUAAAAGGGGAUCAAAGGUUGGGUGAGAAAUCUCACUGGUCUUUAUGCCUUCCCAAAUCCUGCCUUAGCUUAGUUAUUUCCAUCCUGGAGCAGCAGAGACCCACUUGGUGGCUCAGUCAUAUAUUCUAGUUUUUUUUCAAAAAAAAACUAGCUGCAAAAGCACAACCACCUUAUCCACGAGGAUUUGUAUCGGGGGAAAAAAUGAGGGAGGCACCCCUUCUGCAGUGUACCGUAAUGGGGGUCCUGAUGUAGGCAUGCAGAACUGCGGAGCCUGCAUCAGGGUUAGGGAGAGCCACAGCCUCUGUGUCUGCCAGGAAGAAAGAUCAAUGGCUUUGGAAAGAAUACAGAUUUAAUACAUUGUUUGGGGUAAAUUGUGAACAAGAACAUAACACUUUAAAAAGUAACAUGGUGAAGCUGAACACUUCGUUUACAGAUGGCUGCCUUCUCUGACAGUUCAGCAUUGUAAUUCCUCCUCCCCCCCCCCCCCCCCAAAAAAAAAAAAAAAAAAAAAAAUCCUUUAUUUACAGGCAUUCAGAUAAAUAUUUGGGAAAAUAUUUUUCCUUAAAAGUCAUCGAUAGCAUUGGAGAAAAGAAAAUCACUCUUUGUUCAGAGAGGGCUUUCUGGUGGGAGCAGGAGCCUCCACACAAUGUUAUGCAGGGAUGCAAGCAGAGCUAUAGCCGAGGUGAACUGGCCCAGUGGACCAUACACCUACUCUAAUGACUAGUAUGAAAAAUAUCUUAUUAUUAUCGUGUCCUUAGAAGUCACAGUAACAAAAACAAGGAUAGUCUUCUGGCUCAUAACAGACUAAUAUUACAGUACAUUUUUUAUAAAGUGCCCUUAUUUACCCUUCUGUAAAUGAACUCAAACGCAGCAAUAAAAAUAGAUGAAUGGAACUAAUGAAAAGAGAA